CUGUGUUGGAGCAGAAAGCCUUCUGUGAGGACUUGCUUCCCCGUUUGGUUCUAGCUGUCUCUAUCUGUAGAAUAGGGCGGAUGGGGGAGAUUGUAUCCAGUGUUAUCUCCUUUCCUAGAAUUUGUAACAGGUAAAACUAUACUGCAGGCUUUCUGACUGAGCUGAACCCUGGCUCAAUGAGGGCAGGGAGAGAAAGAUUUAUGGAAGGAAGUUAUAUCUAAAGUAAGAGAUUAGCCAAGAGCUGUCGUUUCAGCUGGUGAAGAAAGGGUGGGUACAUAGAUACAAGGGCAUCAGGAAGGCCAGUUGGCAGCCCUGCACCUGGUGCAGAAGGUGUACACACACACCAGCGGCAACUGCAGCAAUGUCCCAGGUAUUUCCCAGACAACUGUAUCCACCCAGGAAGCAGUUAGAAAUGCAAGCCUCUGGGGAUCUGGCUCUUGGACAAAAGUGACAGUGGUGUGUGUGUGUGCAGUCUUAUAAAGUAAAUGAAAGGGAAGACGUGCAAAGAAGGUUGGCAGAGAUCCAGAGGAGUGCAGUGUUUUGGAGAGAAGGAGGACAGAAUUUCAAGAAUGCCGGUGGUAUUAG
rnacentral:lncRNA from 1 species